CUCUAUGGUUGCUCUGUAUAAUGGAGGAGAGGCAGCCUUCAGCCGCAUUCCCUGGCUUCACAUGAGUACUGGGAAUGGCUGAAGAUGAAGUACCACAAUGACUCUGCCUCAUCAUUGCCAGCACAGCAGAUGUGUGUGGAUAACAAUAAGAACUCCUCUGACUCAAGGUCACUGCUGGAGCUGAGCAAAAACAGAAGAGCCGAAACAAAUCCAUUGCCGGAAUCUUCAGCGAAACGUUACUUGCUGCAUCCCAGACUCUCCGGCUACCUUGCACAGGUGACCAGCUAUUUUGCAGUGACUGAUAUUAUAGAUGGCGGUGACAGGGAUAAAAGCGGAGGAAAGGGAAGAAAGCACCAGUGCAGGAAAUGAAGGCCGCUUUGAGGCAGCUUUUACUUGGAACACAUGGGGCUUUAAUAAACUGGUUCCAGCCUGGGCAUCUUGGAGGCUUCCUCUUCUCACUGUUUUUCUCAGAAAGGUGUUGUCCUAUAGAGGACUGCAUUUUUCUUUCUUUCUUUUUCUUUUUUUUAAUUUAAUGUUUUUUGACAUUGUGUAUUUUUACAAGGACUGCAUUUUCAAACUGUCUUAAUGCAUACCAUACUAAAGCCUUCUUAUGAAGGCACCCCCAUGUGGUCAAGUUUAUAUUUGGCAGGAAGAUCUGAUUUUUGCGGGCUAUCUUGCAGUGGAGGGGCAGCAUCCCUGCACUCUUACAGAUAUUGGUUUAUACUUACAGAACUACUGUUACCAAAGGAAAACCGGCUUUAAGCUGCUCCCCCAUGUAGGAAACUAUUUUGUUAAAAGCAAUAUGCAAAUUUCCAUGAAAAUACAUUGAAAAGCUUUCGGGUUGUGAGGUGUUUUUUUUUUUUGGUACUUUGAUCUCCACUCGUUCCACACCUAAUGGAACGUCCCCUGAAUAAAUAGACUAAAUGUUGAAUUCCUAUGUGUUGGAAACCUUCAGUUCGUCGAAUGUUCUGACUCCAGGCAGUGGAAAUUAAAAAUGACACCCAGAUUUUUACACCUUCUUUUCUUGCUUGCCACACUGACGCUUUGCAUACAGCAAAUUCAUUAGCAUGAUCAGUGGACUCUGUUCUAUGCCCGCCUGGAUAGCCCUGAGCAGACCAGGUUACAUGCAUCAUUGCAUGGUAUGUGACGGAUUGUCAGAAUGAUUCAAAGGGUUCCGAGUUCCUUGCCAAAGGCAGCUUUUCCCCCUCAUACAUUAAAUUAAGUAUCCUAUCUUGCAGAUACUUCUUUGAAUAAUUCCAUGAAUACCUUUGAUGUCUGGAGGGUAAGUCUAUAAAGUUUCUGAAAUGCCAUGAAGCCAACGAUUUUAAAAACUGAUAUUGCAGUCUCGGAACAUUCAGCUUUUUGCCUUUCUUUGUAGUGUGUGGCUUGAAUUACAUAUUGAAUCACCGGGGUCAGAAGGAGGGGAGAUUGCAAAUGCAAUGGCAAUAAAUUCAAAUUCCAAAUUUUGGUUUGAGGCAUCUAUUUUGUUAAGGUACAUCAGGUACCUGGGUUAAAAGAA